UAGAUGCCCAAUGGAUCGUUCAUCAAGCUCUCCCUUCUCUUGGAAACGAGGGAGAAGCAAAAGAUGGAAAGGCUCCUUGGAGAGGGGUGAGGGAUAGAUGUAGAAAGGAAUGGACAAUGUUUCAAACUAGAGUAGCAAAUGCAGAGAAAGCCUAUUUCAAGUCUAUAGGAGUUGAUCCUUCCAAUUUUACCUCUUAUUAAGUCAACAUGAUCAAGUUGACAGUAUACAAAAAAAUUCUGGCAAUUUUGCCUAGGAUGUUAGGUGCCUCCAUCUUGUAAAAUUAAUAGCUGUUAGUUGUUAUGAAUGAUAACAAUAAUUUUUUAAAGGAAAGUAUA
rnacentral:misc_RNA from 1 species